GACGAACGCUGGCGGCGUGCUUAACACAUGCAAGUCGAACGAAGAGCGACGGAAGCUUGCUUCUAUCAAUCUUAGUGGCGAACGGGUGAGUAACGCGUAAUCAACCUGCCCUUCAGAGGGGGACAACAGUUGGAAACGACUGCCGAUACCGCAUACGAUCUAAUCUCGGCAUCGAGGAUGGAUGAAAGGUGGCCUCUACAUGUAAGCUCUCACUGAAGGAGGGGAUUGCGUCUGAUUAGCUAGUUGGAGGGGUAACGGCCCACCAAGGCGAUGAUCAGUAGCCGGUCUGAGAGGAUGAACGGCCACAUUGGGACUGAGACACGGCCCAGACUCCUACGGGAGGCAGCAGUGGGGAAUCUUCCGCAAUGGACGAAAGUCUGACGGAGCAACGCCGCGUGAGUGAUGACGGCCUUCGGGUUGUAAAGCUCUGUUAAUCGGGACGAAAGGCCUUCUUGCGAAUAGUGAGAAGGAUUGACGGUACCGGAAUAGAAAGCCACGGCUAACUACGUG
rnacentral:rRNA from 1 species